GUUACAACAGUGAUAUAUGAUAAUAUUGUGAAGAGAUAUAUUGAUAGAAGGAUUAUUGAUUGGAAAUAAUCUUCAAUCUCUUGAAAAAAGUUAUAUUUGCUUUACUUCAAUUUUUUAUUUAUAUUUCACACUCAAUUCACUCACACAUUAUAUUCUUCUUUCUUACUUCUCUUAAAAUUCAGGAAAUCUUACUUUGGUAAUCUUCAGGGUCAUCAAAUAAUCAAAUAUUGAAAUUACAUACAGGUAUGUUUUUCAAUUCUCCACCCAUAUAU
rnacentral:lncRNA from 1 species